rnacentral:lncRNA from 1 species
GUGGAGCCCAGGGAGACAGAUCCACAAAUCACUGAGAAAGGUGAGCCUGGAGAGGCAGCAUCGGACAAGCACCAUGAAGGCUGCCUGCUGGGAGCCUGUGCCACACGUGUGUCUGGCUUCCUCUCGUGCUGUUAAUGACUUUUAUAAUUUUAUUAUCUAUCACAUCAAACCAAAGUUUUGUCUGAAGUGGGAUGUUGAAGAUUUCUCGUGAGCUUCCUGGCAUUUGUCCAGAAGUUGAGGUCCAGCAUGAAAUGCAGAAGAACCUGGGCUAUUUCCUGGCUUUUAAAAAUGAUUCUUGUGCUACGGGUGAUCCUACUUGUCUCUAUAUCUGGGAUCUUUGGAAAGGCCCUGGGUAUAUUGAAAUCUACCCGGGCAACUCAGGUGCUCUCAUGGGUAUUUCCAUUUUCACUGUAUCUAUUGUUUCCAUUUCAUCAUCUGGAUCUCGAACUUCUCAGAGAUAGAGCUUAAGAAAGGAGUCACUUUAAGUGGGUUUACACUUUGUAUUCUUACCAAAAGUAUGGUUCAACAUUAAUAGGGUUAAAGCUCCAGUUAGAGAAUGUGCAUAACUAUUAUCCAAGAGCCAUGGGGGCAGGGAAAGGGGAAAAUCUCAGAUGAGCACUGAAGGAUGGUUUGACAAGGAUCUCAAACAUCCUUAAGUUUUACUUCAUUUUAUUCUUUUCUCUGCAGAGUCUU